CUAAAAAUAAACUAUAAUGAAGAAAAAGUAAAUGAGUAGGUUCAGGAUUCCGACAGGUUUGGCUCCACAAAAACCUUCAACAUUAUUAAAUUAAGCAAUAAAUUAGAAUCCACUGAAGAAUGUCCUGGAAUCCAUAGAAGUCUCUUAUUGGUAGUCAACAGGGUUCUACCAGGCUGCAGCAGAUAACCAAAACAGCUGCAUUGAAACCUGGGAGAACCCUACCAGGUACUGAGAAGAGGCUUCUAUUAAGUCUGGGACAUUCUUCUAAGUACGCACACCCUCACCUAAUAUAUUGAGCAAAGUGUGCAUUUAUGCAGUUCCUCUACAGUUUGGACCAUGGAGACCGCUCUGUUAACUGAUGCACUAUUUUCCAAUGUGGUGCCACUAGUCUCGAGUAUAUUGAGAACAAUUUAUUUAAACAAUCCCAUCCUAUUUUUGGAGAUAUUUUGUUCCAUAGUUUGCUCUGGGGUUUUUUUUCUGUGCGGAGAACUGUUCUUGCAAAUUUAUUGAACUCUACUGUGUGAACUUCCAUACAUUUGGAGUACUGCUUGCCGUUUAUGCAUGUUGAAGUUUUUGCGAAUACGUUAUGCAUGAGGAAUUUUUGGGGACCAAUUGAUGCAUGAGGAAUAUGUUUUUGCAUGUUUCUAUUUGUUUUCUUAUGAACCGUGUUAUGAGAAAAACAGCUAGUAUAUAGUUGCUUUACAGUAACAGUAAUUGUCUUGCUGUUUUAAAGUAACAGUAAUUUCUUGCAUUUCACGUUAUAAAAAUUGCCUUAAAAAGUG